AGUGCGCUGCACAAGCUUGUUUUACUGUGCCCGUGCGGCCGGUGGCUUGAUUUUAGUUGUGCAUUGUGGUGCUUAGUUAACGUAGGCCUGUUUACAACGAGCGGGUUUAUCUUGAUUGAAGGAGUGGCGUCUGGCCAGCGCUUUUCCCCCUCUGGCCACAUUUCCUCUGGUCUUGGGUGGCACAUAUUGUCCUAUUGCAGGUUCUGAAUCCGCAUUUUCACUUCAUCUAAAUUGGUUGUUAUUUCAAACAAGAUCACUCAAAGGAAGGCAGCAAAAAGAUGGCUGAUGGAUAUGACCCCUGUGCUUGUAUCUGGGAUCAUGGCAUGGCCAUGAGGCGCCUCAUCUCUCUGCUACGUGGCAUGCAAGGAUUCUGCACAGAUAGUGAAUGCUUUGGUGAAUUACCGGGCCCGACGGCGGACAGCUCUGGCGGCAAUGACAUGAUGAUGAUGGCAGUGGUGUGGGUGGUGCUUGGCGUGCUGCUGUACCUGUUCCGACCCAGCUCGAUGCGCAACCGGGGCGACGGCAAGCCCGACAGACUGGACCAGGGCCCGGGCAAUAACCCGCCGCCCACGAGCAACUAGCGCUCGCCCGUCACCCGGCCCGCCGCUGACCACCUCUCCUGUGAUAACCGGCCGUCUCGGCGCCGGCGGCCGGACACCGCCCGUCUCGACCCCACUCACCUCGGGGAGCUGUCCGCGAUCGCCGCGUCCGGCCGCUCCGCCUCUGCGGCGCCCGCCAUACCGCCACGCCGCGUCUGGCGCGCCCCGGCAACGGCUGGUACAGCGUUACCUCUCGCAGCGCUGCCGGCCCCUGGUGCUCGACGGAAGACGUCCUGCGGCUCCAUAGCCAAGGCGCCGCCGUAGCGCGGAGGCAGACCCUCUGUUGGCGCCCCAUGGGUGGAGCGGCUGACUUGCGCCAGGGAGGAGUGUCCCGGGACAGGAUGUCCGCAUCAGUAUCGGGGCACGUCGGGCCCGCCCGCGCCGCCGGCGGGAAGGGGCGUUCGCUGACCCGAGCUGGCUCUGUCCCGUCGUCGUCGCACCGUUCUGAUGUCUAUUUUUGGGGUGUGUGCUCUGCGGUCUGGGUACGGCUUGGAUUUGGUAAUCGCUUUAAAGCUAAAUCUUCCCGAACAGGAAGGUUGUCUUGCUGUGGGGAAAUGGAAUUGAUGAGCACCCGUGGCUUAUUCACUUGGUGCGAUUAGGUUAACUUAAUCAUUAGAGGAAAUUGAUGGAUACAUUCCGGGCGGUUUCUGUGCAUGCUACACGGCAUAUAUACAGCUGAACAGACUUCACUGCUUCGCCUUUAAGGCUUCAUAAGGGAGGCCUCGUUUUUGUCGCACAAGUCCAUAAGUGUAGUACAAAAACCACACAGCACGUGAUGACGCGUGUUUGGCGCCACGCCAAACAACAUUAAAACUCAGGGAGCUAGCGAUCGCGGCUGUCAAUAGCAGACGCCCAUACACGUGGACAGGCCAUGGGAAGGAAAUAAUUGGACGAUUCGUGUACACAUAUGUAUCAGGGAUGUGCAUUCACUGCUAUACCCCUAUAUGUGCCCAGGAUGCCCAGUAACCCUCUUUUUUCCUUUCUAGACUUGUCCAGGUGUGUUAGUGUCUGCUAUUGAUAGCUGCGGUUACUAGCUCCUUGCGGUUUCCAGCUAUGUUCGUCUCUUCAAACACGUGUCACCGAAUGCUGUAUAAUGCUUUUUGUACUUGUGAAUUUGUCCUGUAAAAACGAAGCCUUCUUGCUGAAAGCUUACUUAUGGGUGAAAGCGUUGAGAUCUGUUCUGUUAGUUAAAUAACUAAAAGUUAGGUACCAUACAUACAUAUAUAUAUAUAUAUAUAUAUAUAUAUAUAUAUAUAUAUAUCCAGAUUUAAGAAAUACACACGAGUACUUCUUGUUAAUUGCGUGUCUUAACCGGGUCGCGUAUCCUCGCGUAGAAUCUACCGCGGUCGUGCGCGACUGUUGGGAGCUGCGCGUCUGUUCUGUUUGAUUGGUAAUAUGAUUUCGCCGUCGCCGUGUUUGUUCUGAGGUAGCGGACCGGAUGCUGGGUUUGUCCGCUGUGGCGAUGGGAGGCCGCAUCGCAUCGCACCCUGUGCAGUGCCGGGUGCGCUUGCGAUCAAUCAUCCUGUUAGCGUUCCGUCGACACUACUGAAUACACGGAUAUAUACGGAUCAGGA